CAGAACUCCAUCUUUCUUUGGUAUUUAAAAGGUGGAUAUUCCUUCUAUGUUUACGUGAUUCAUAGAUAAUCAUAGAGGAAAAUCCAUGUUUUCAGUAUCAAAUGCUACUCUGGAAAUGUU
rnacentral:precursor_RNA from 8 species